UUAGACGUGGUUGCUCUUGUGCCCGGAUUGCUGGGAGAGCAACUGGAGCCGUUUUCUCAGGCGACGCAUCUCAACCUCUCCAUUUUGCAUCGCAGAGAGGAAAGGGAUGGCGCUUCGCUCGCUUCUUUUCUUCUCCAAAACAUUCCUUUCGCGCCAAAAAUCGCCAUCUUGGUUGACGACGCUCAUGAAGAAGUCGCCUUGCAACUACAGCGGGCCCUUCACAAAGCAGGCAUAUCUGUUACUACUUUCACCUUCAGUCCCCUCCUGACGGGGCUCACGGAAGAACUGACGUCAACGACCAGCAUCGGCAGGAGGCAUUACGUCAUUACCUUGUGCGCAAAAGAAAGUAUUAUUAGGGUCUUCGAACAGGCACAACAGAGGGCGCUGCAAAGUGU